CCCUUAGAUGUUCUGGGCCGCACGCGCGCUACACUGAUGCACUCAACGAGUCUCCACCUUGACCGAAAGGUCCGGGAAACCUUCGAACUUGCAUCGUGAUGGGGAUAGAUUAUUGCAACUAUUAAUCUUCAACGAGGAAUACCUAGUAAGCGCAUGUCAUCAGCGUGCGUUGAUUACGUCCCUGCCCUUUGUACACACCGCCCGUCGCACCUACCGAUUGAAUGGUCCGGUGAAGCCUCCGGAUUGGCGCGCACCUCGGUGCCGCCGAGAAGUUGGCUAAACCUUACCAUUUAGAGGAAGGUGAAGUCGUAACA
rnacentral:rRNA from 1 species